rnacentral:lncRNA from 1 species
CAAGCUCAAAAGCAAACAUAAUCAAUUCCAAAAAUUAUGAAAUAAUUCAUACUCAAUCACAAUCCAUAACAUAGCAUGCAUAUGAAAUUUCAGCUCAAUUGGAUCAUGGGAAGAUAGUCAAUUAAAAUCAGGAAGUCAACACAAUUUCAAGUAAGCACAAAGAAGUCAACAAAACAUGUGUCAUCUUCAAAAAAUCAUAACAAAAUGAAAACAGAUGAGAAAUGGAUGGGAUCAACACCAAUGCAAAUCUCAAGAUGUCUAGUAUGCACAUAUGAAAUUUC